UAAACGUAAUAAAGGAAUGCCCUAACAAGUGCCCACUCUCAACUUCCUUCCCAAGAGGCCUAUUUACAUUACAAUGGUUGCCAAGGUUACUGUAAUUCCAUCACAGCUCCUUUUCUCCAGUUGCUGAUCUGGAGCCUGGGAGGUACAAAUUAACAACCAAAAAUCUUAAUUGAGGCUAACUCAAAUCGCAGCCUACCCAAAAGUUCAUGACCUAGAAAAAAGUUUUGUUUAGUAGCAAAAACUGCUGAAAGGAUUGGGACAGAGGCUUCAGGAGCCUAAUUGUGAGUCCCAAAAUACUACCUACCAACUUUGCCUCCUUUUGAAGCUAGUGGCCUUUCUGCUGAAUCUCAUGAGUCUUCAAGUGGAAAUAUGGACUUACCAUAACCAGGGAUCGAACUUGGGACCUUGCACUUGAGCAGCAGGCGCCAGAACCAGAGCUAAAUCCCCAGCCCAACAUCUUUAACUUUAAGUGAUGUUUGCAAGUAAAAACCAGUGUUACUGAAAAAAAUAAAUAAAUAAAUAAAGAUAACACAAUCCUGUAAGUAAAAUUCUCAAAGAAUCUCUAGAAAACUACUGGAAUAACACACAAGUAUAGCAAAGUUGCAGAAUAUAAAAUUGACAUACAAUAAUCAAUUUUAAUUAAGCAAUCCCACUCUUAGGCAUGUGUCCAAAGGAAACGAGGGCCGGGUAUUU